CCUACGGGCGGCAGCAGUGAGGAAUAUUGGUCAAUGGGCGGGAGCCUGAACCAGCCAAGCCGCGUGAAGGAAGAAGGCGCCAAGCGUCGUAAACUUCUUUUGACAGGGAAGAGCAGAAGACGGUACCUGUCGAAUAAGCCACGGCUAACUACGUGCCAGCAGCUGCGGUAAUACGUAGGUGGCAAGCGUUGUCCGGAUUUACUGGGUGUAAAGGGCGUGUAGCCGGGCUGACAAGUCAGAUGUGAAAUCCGGGGGCUCAACCCCCGAACUGCAUUUGAAACUGUUGGUCUUGAGUAUCGGAGAGGCAGGCGGAAUUCCUAGUGUAGCGGUGAAAUGCGUAGAUAUUAGGAGGAACACCAGUGGCGAAGGCGGCCUGCUGGACGACAACUGACGGUGAGGCGCGAAAGCGUGGGGAGCAAACAGGAUUAGAUACCCCUGUAGUC
rnacentral:rRNA from 1 species